GACGAAGGUGGCGAGCGUUGUUCGGAAUCACUGGGCAUAAAGCGCACGUAGGCGGUGGCGUAAGUCGGGUGUGAAAUCCCUCGGCCUAACCGAGGAACUGCGCCCGAUACUGCGUUGCUUGAGGACCACAGGGGUGCAUGGAAUUUCCGGUGGAGCGGUGAAAUGCGUUGAUAUCGGAAGGAACUCCGGCGGCGAAAGCGGUGCACUGGGUGGUUUCUGACGCUGAGGUGCGAAAGCUAGGGGAGCAAACGGGAAUUAGAAACCCGGGUAGU
rnacentral:rRNA from 1 species